GCUCCGGGCCGGGUUCUGGGUUGGGCACUUGGAUGAGUAAAAGAACGGAUCAAGGUCCUGCCUCUGGGGGAGGCAGUCACUGAUCAGGUAGUCAGGGAAGCAAGUAUGAGAUGUAACCGUAGUAACAGGCUGCCAACGGGAGGCACCUGGGCAUGGAUUCUGACCAAAUUAUGUCAGGAGAGGGGUCCCAGGGGAAGGGACGCGGUGUCCCGAUGGGAAGGACAGACGGACGGAGCCACGGUGCUGGAGUGGAGACAGCGAGGGGAGGAAGGAAGGUGGGGAACAGGCAGGGGCCAGGCUGCGUGGCCCACGAGGCGAGAGGGCAGGACAACACCCAGCACGUCGCAUCCCGGAAGCGAGGUGGGAAGAUGGGCAUGACCGGCCCAGGGUGCUGAGUGCUGCCGAGAGGUCAGGCGAGCCUCGCAAACGGCCCACGGGGAUCAACACCAGCUGGGCUUGCAGCAAUCUCGCCUAGAGCUCUGCCAGGGCGAGCAGGGAAGGGAAGCCAGGCAGGAGCGAAUUGAGAACAGAGGUGAGAAAAUAGACAAGUAUGCACGAUUCUUCCCGAAGCUUGGCUGGAUGAGAGAGUUGCGGGUGAAGGGGGCUCUGGCGAAGUUUAUACUUUUUACUGGGAGAAGACUGGGCGCGUUUAAUGGAAAGAAUCCGGAUGAGGGGGGCGCCUGGGUGGCUCAGUCGGUUAAGCGGCUGCCUUCGGCUCAGGUCAUGAUCCUGGAGUCCUGGGAUCGAGCCCCGUGUCGGGCUCCCUGCUCAGCGGCGAGUCUGCUUCUCCCUCUCCCUCUGCCUGCCUCUCUGCCUACUUGUGCUCUCUGUCAAAUAAAUAAAUAAAAUCUUUAAAAAAAAAAAAAAGAAUCCGGAUGAGGUGGUGGUGGCAGGAAACUACGUAAGGAGGGAGGAGGCUCAGCUGAUGGUGCAGGAGUCCCGAGGAGGCAGGAGGGGUUGGGGUCCAGGGACAGAGAGGCCUCCCUCCUCAAAAGCAGGAGGAGGGAUGGCUCUUGACCGUGACAGGGGAAGCAGGAUGGUAUGUGUUAGAUUUGGUACUGGAAUUAAUGAAGAGCUCCCAACUGAUGGCUUGCAGUUACUAUAACACACGGAAGUUGGUUUAUCACAAGGAUGACUUCUAUCAGCUUAAAAUAAUACCUUUCCUUGACAGGCUGGUCUUCAGACGGAGGCAAAUUCAUAAACUAAAGGGAUAAAGCUCUAGCGUCAGAAUUCUCGUGGCUAGCUUCUUAGGGAAGGACCCAGAGCAGCCUGACAUGGUCCAAGUAAAGGCUUCUUUCCAGAUCUACUUGUACAGAAACACUGGUCACUGGAAAGCCAGAUAGCAGAGCACAUUACUGUAUUAAUGAAGUGGGCAGUUUUAUGAAUAAUCCCAGAGAGCAGAUAACUCCAAGAAUAAAGACAGAGGUGCUUUCUGAGUGUAUUGUAUCUUUUACCCCUGUCUUGACGGUACGUUUAAGUCACUGUAUCCGACUUAAACUCACAUUAAAUGUAAAAAGUGCUUCCUGACUCUGUAUGUAGACAUGACCAUUUAUAUGCUAUAUGAUAAAGGCAACAUUUUUGGGAGUUAAACUUUUCUGUAAAAUGAAUGAUCCCAAAGUAGGAGUUUUAAUGUGUUCUCAAGUGAUCUAUUCAAAUAGCUUUGCUGGUAUAUAUGUGGCCCUGGUUUAUUAGGUAUCUCUGAGAUGCAAAAUUGUUGUCACUCUUCAAACGGUUUCUUCUUUACAUGACCACCGCUAAAUGAUCUGCACUGGCUGCAAACUGAAAAAUCACCGAGCUCCUGUUUAAAUGCCAUGCGCCAUCAAUCGCCACCUAGGAGCCUUCCAGGUUCUUGCAGAAUUUAGAAACGGAUGUUCUGUAGUGUCAGUUUGAACAACUCUAUGCUGGUGACUGCAAGAAACAACCACAUAAACUAAGGCUUUUCUUUUUCCAAGCAAGGACCAUGACAGACAAACAGGCCAGAAGCAAACAGUACUUCGGCUUUGGCCUCGGAAAAAGGAGAAAGGAGACCGUGAGAGAAUGUGGUGGCAAGAUGCUUUAGGCAACACGCAGAGCAGGGAGGCUGUCUCCCCAGAGACGUGACAAAAAACCGCUGAAGGUCUGGCCUGACUCCUGAUGCUGACGAGGAGGAUUCAUUCUGCCGCAAGGAGCUAAUGAGCCUUCUGCUGGUGUCAGAACUGCAAGGUCACGGCUUUCAUUAGCCUUUGCAACUGCAUAUUGUUUGGAGGGCCCUGAUUUUAAGGUUUGGAUCUCUGAAAGCUGUAUCUGCAUUUCAGGAGAAAGCAAAGCAGAAUUGACGUCGGUCUUCUGCAUCUCAGCCCCAGGGGGAGGGAACGGCCCUUCCAGAGGGGAAGAGAAAACGGGAAGGACUCGUCCUCUCUCCUAAGGCAGGAGGAGACGGUUUCCCGACUGCCGCUCUGGAUGGGAAAGGGUGCAGAUGGGCCUGGUGGGGCCGCAGGGAGGGGAGACGCGCUGAGUUACGACCCUUCCUUUGGAAUCGUUCUGGAGAACGUGUCGGUUGCAUGCGUUUGUGUGUGGCCUUGGUCACUGCUACAUCGCCAGGUGUUAGGAGGCCACGGAGAACUAAAAGGUGCUUUUUACUUUUAAAAAUAUUUUAUUUAUUUAUUUGUCAGAGAGACAGCGAGCACACAAGGAGGGGGAGUUGCAGAGGGAGAAGCAGGCUCCCCGCGGAGCAGGGAGCCCGAUGCGGGGCUCGAUCGCAGGAUCCUGGGACCAUGACCUGAGCUGAAGGCAGACGCUUAACGACUGAGCCACCCAGGCAUCCCCAAAACAGUGAAUCUCCACCUCCAGCCUGCUCUUGGCUGCCCGACCUCUCCAAAGAGGGGUUCAGGCGUGAGGUCUCAGUAAACCAUCGCAACCCUGGCUUCUGUCCACACCAUUCUACUGCCCUGGUUCUCCGCUGGACAGUUCUGCCCCCAGGGGACCUCUGGCAAGGUCUACAGACAUUCGUGGUUGUCAGGACUGGGGAGGCUGCUUCUGGCGUCUAGCUCAACGUCCCACCCUGCACACGCCUGUCCCUCACAACACAGGACUGGCCGGGCCAUGCGACAACAGUGACGAGGUGCGGGAACCUUACUCUCCCGAAUCAGACUCGGGAUGGCACCUGGCACACAGGAGGGGCUCCACAGAUUUUCCAUGAUUCAAUCAAUGAAUAAUACUCCAACCCAGGAGUUGUGCCCUCGGGGACGGCCAGAACUCUGGGCCCUACACCACGGUGGCCGGCCGCUGAAGACGUUCCUCUGGGAAGAAUGAACAGCAGUUUUGCUUUUAUACCUCAGGACUCUGCCCUGCUACCCUUUCUCUCUGCCAAGAAGGCAGAGCAACUCUUAAAAUUAUUGAUCCACAUACCCAACUCUUUCCAGGAAUUUCAGUUAAUAGUUUUCAACUUCCCCUCAAGCUAUUAACAAAUAGCCUGGUUCUAAGCAUGGGAAAGAGCCCAGAGAGGAGAAAACGGACUGGGGUCCAGGGCCUGCCUCCACCAUUAACCAGAAGGUCGCUUGGGCGCAUUAUGCCGCUGUAUCUCCGCUCUGAGUCCCACCGUCUGACAGGUGGCUGUAACCACAAGCUAGCCCGCAUGCCUCCCAGGAGCUCUGAGAGGCCCGAAUGAGAAUGAGAGAAAAAUCCCUUUUAAAAGUAAGUAGAAGGCGUGAAAUUUUAUUUUUGGUAACUCGAAAAAAGUCUCGGACCUCAAGUAGAUAAACAGGUACCCUUAAGAAAGAAAGAGUAUUGCUUUUGAUGGACACAGACCAUCAAGGCAAGGACAGAGUGAUUCCAACGAAGAGAGGAAGCUCUGGGUGUCACUGCUGAGUGACUGUCAUGGACGGAAUCACGGGGAGGUCGACGUGCACAGCCCAGACAACAUGAAAAUGGCAUAAGACUAUAUACUUACUUUAUUUACCCACUCAUUCAUCCACUCAUUGAAAAAAUAUUAUGGUUCCAGAUUUCCCCGAUGCCUCUGCUUUGUUGGGCCUCAAUAAACAACAUACACAACCCGUGACUACUUUCUGAAGCAAGGCAAGGGAUGAAGAGUUGGGUGUAGGCCCCGGGUUGCCCCCUCCCACCGGGACUCCUCCUAGGAGCUGUAGAAUAUGUGCAGCUCGUGCUUUUCUCAUAUUCACCCCCAACGGGCCAAUCUCUCAGGGCCAUCAGCGCCCCCCAAGAAGAGUUCUGAGGGUACAAGAGGAGGCAGAGGCUGGAAGACAGGAGACAGGAAUCCCUAGCCUCCUUCCCCCUCCUUCCUCAAUGGGUUUCUGGCCAAUGUCCUCUCACUGCCUCCCACAAGCUCCUAUUUCUAGAAACAAUAACUCAGGUUCAGAUGAGAUCCCAUGCUGUUUAGAAACCCAGAGAGGAACAUACAAAACCCCCAGAGAGUCUCAGAUGCCCGUGUGGAGGGGGUUUUGGUCACAUUAUUUUGCCAAGUUUCCUACAGUCCUCCUUUAUGAAAAGUCCCACACCCCCCUACUCCUUCC